rnacentral:rRNA from 1 species
GAUGAACGCUGGCGGCGUGCCUAAUACAUGCAAGUCGAGCGAAGCGGGGACGGGUGAGUAACACGUGGAUAACCUCCUAUAAGACGGGGAUAACAUCGGGAAGCCGGAGCUAAACCGGAAACUUAUAGGUGGAUCCGCGUUGGAUUAGCUAGUUGGUAAGGUAACGGCUUACAAAGGCAACGAUGCCUAGCCGAUCUGAGAGGGGGAUCGGCCACACUGGAACUGAGACACGGUCCAGACUCCUACGGGAGGCAGCAGUAGGGAAUAUUCCGCAAUGGGCGAAAGCCUGAUGGAGCAACGCCGCGUGAGUGAUGAAGGUCUUCGGAUCGUAAAACUCUGUUAGUAGGGAGGCGGUACCUAAACAGAAAGCCACGGCUAACUACGUGCCAGCAGCCGCGGUAAUUC